rnacentral:rRNA from 1 species
CAGUAGCCGCGGUAAUACGUAGGUGGCAAGCGUUGUCCAGAAUUAUUGGGCGUAAAGGGCUCGCAGGCGGUUUCUUAAGUCUGAUGUGAAAGCCCCCGGCUCAACCGGGGAGGGUCAUUGGAAACUGGGAAACUUGAGUGCAGAAGAGGAGAGUGGAAUUCCACGUGUAGCGGUGAAAUGCGUAGAGAUGUGGAGGAACACCAGUGGCGAAGGCGACUCUCUGGUCUGUAACUGACGCUGAGGAGCGAAAGCGUGGGGAGCGAACAGGAUUAGAUACCCCCGUAGUCCCUGUCUCUUAUAC